rfam:Myotis davidii contig133898, whole genome shotgun sequence.
GGUGGUUCUCAGUUGACGCACCCUAGAAUUGGGCUCCCUCCUCUCUGGUUCCAAUGUGUCACCCGAGAACCCG